UAGUCAGAACAAUGCUUAUGGUAC
rnacentral:siRNA from 1 species